rnacentral:rRNA from 1 species
UACGUAGGGUCCAAGCGUUAAUCGGAAUUACUGGGCGUAAAGCGUGCGCAGGCGGUUUUGUAAGCCAGAUGUGAAAGCCCCGGGCUCAACCUGGGAACUGCAUUUGGGACUGCAAGGCUGGAGUGCGGCAGAGGAGACUGGAAUUCCUGGUGUAGCAGUGAAAUGCGUAGAUAUCAGGAGGAAUACCGAUGGCGAAGGCAGGUCUCUGGGCUGACACUGGAUGCUCAUGCACGAAAGCGUGGGGAAGCAAACAGGG